rnacentral:misc_RNA from 1 species
AUCAAACCUCAAGCUUUUGCUUGGUAUUGGGUUUUCGUCUAACUCGGUCUUUUAGUACAGAGAGUGACGUGCCUGAAAGUCAAUGGCGGUGCCUCAAAUAGACUCUAGCGUAGCAGACUGACUCGCUUCAGAGAACUUUUGUGGUUCUGCCAACCAAAAUUAUAAUCAA